GGGUAGGGGUAGGGUUAAGGGUUGGGGUAGGGUAAUGGUUGGGGUAGGGGUGGGGGUAGGGUUAGUGGUUGAAAUAGGGUUAUGGGUAACCCUAACCCUAACCCUACCACUAACCCUACCCCUAACCCUACCCUAACCCUACACCUAACCCUAUCCCUAACUCUACCCCUAAUUUAACCCUACUCUAACCCUACCCCCACUCUAAUCCUACCCCUAAUCUAACCCUACCCAUAACCCUACCUCUAACCCUACCCCUAACCC